AUUGAACGCUGGCGGCAGGCCUAACACAUGCAAGUCGAGCGAGUGGCGGACGGGUGAGUAAUGUCUGGGAAACUGCCUGAUUGAGGGGGAUAACUACUGGAAACGGUAGCUAAUACCGCAUACCAUCGGAUGUGCCCAGAUGGGAUUAGCUAGUUGGUGGGGUAAAGGCUCACCAAGGCGACGAUCCCUAGCUGGUCUGAGAGGAUGACCAGCCACACUGGGACUGAGACACGGUCCAGACUCCUACGGGAGGCAGCAGUGGGGAAUAUUGCACAAUGGGCGCAAGCCUGAUGCAGCCAUGCCGCGUGUAUGAAGAAGGCCUUAGGGUUGUAAAGUACUUUCAGCGGGGAGGCGUUACCCGCAGAAGAAGCACCGGCUAACUCCGUGCCAGCAGCCGCGGUAAUAC
rnacentral:rRNA from 1 species